UACGUAGGGACCAAGCGUUGUUCGGAUUUACUGGGCGUAAAGGGCGCGUAGGCGGCGCGGUAAGUCACUUGUGAAAUCUCUGAGCUUAACUCAGAACGGCCAAGUGAUACUGCAGUGCUAGAGUGUGGAAGGGGCAAUCGGAAUUCUUGGUGUAGCGGUGAAAUGCGUCGAUAUCAAGAGGAACACCUGAGGUGAAGACGGGUUGCUGGGCCAACACUGACGCUGAUGCGCGAAAGCCAGGGGAGCAAACGGG
rnacentral:rRNA from 1 species